AUGACCAUAAUGCUACUGGGCAACAACACUCUUGGCGGGCACAUCCCGGCUGAGCUCGGCGUCAAGCUCACGUCCCUGGCUGUGCUCUCCCUGACAAACAACAUCUUCACAGGGCCCAUCCCGGCAUCACUGGCGAAUCUGUCCCGUCUGGAAGCUCUCGAACUCAGCACAAACCAGCUUACUGGCUCAAUCCCAUCGGGGUUUGGAAGCACCCAGAGCACGCGGAUCUUCGUUCUUUUCGGAAACAACCUCUCUGGUAUGCUCCCGCCUUCUCUAUUCAACUGGUCUUCAAUGGAACAAUUUGACGUACAAUUCAAUAUGUUGCACGGAAGCAUUCCAGCUGAUAUCGGAACCAAGUUCCCCAAGAUGAAAGUUCUUGGCUUGGGUGAUAAUCACUUCACUGGAGGCCUCCCAUCAUCACUAUCCAAUAUGUCUGAUCUCAGACAUCUUAGUCUCGCGCAAAAUAGAUUUAGUGGGUACGUGCCUCCCACGUUGGGGAAGCUGGGAGCUCUACAAGGCCUGUACUUUGCAGACAAUGAGCUUGAAGCAAAUGACAAGGAAGGGUGGGAAUUCAUCACUUCUUUGGCAAACUGCAGCCAACUGCAGCGAUUGGAAAUUGCCAAAAAUUCUUUUGGAGGACAAAUGCCGGGUUCUGUUGUGAACCUCUCAACGACUCUCCAGUACUUAGGCUUGAGUGACAAUAUGAUCUUUGGGGUGAUUCCUGCGGACAUAGGGAAUCUGGUUGGUCUCCAAAAGCUUUUUAUAGCAAAUAAUUUCAUAUCCGGAAUAAUUCCAGAAAGCAUAGGUAAACUAGAGAACAUGAUCGAGCUAGACUUGUACAAUAAUAGCUUGUCUGGCAUCAUACCAUCAUCGGUGGGGAACCUUUCGCAGUUGGUUAUCAUGACUGCAUAUUAUGGCAACUUGGAGGGGCCGAUUCCGGCAAGCCUGGGGGAGUUGAAAAAACUUAUUGUACUUGAUUUGUCACAUAAUUACCGUCUUAACGGUUCAAUACCCAGAGAGAUUUUCAAAUUACACGGACUUUCUAACUAUUUGGACUUUUCAUACAAUUCCCUUUCUGGACCUCUUCCUAAUGAAGUUGGUAGCUUGGCAAACCUUAACCAACUGAUCCUAUCAGGAAACCAGUUGUCUGGCAAGAUACCCGACAGUGUUCAGAAUUGUAUAGUGUUGGAAUGCUUAUUAUUAGACAAGAAUUUGUUGGAGGGAAGCAUACCUCAGUCACUAAAGAACAUAAAGGGGCUCAGGAUACUGAACUUGACCAUGAAUAAGUUGUCUGGUAAUAUUCCUGAGGCCCUUCGCAGUAUUGGAAACUUGCAGGAACUAUACCUAGCACACAACAACUUGUCAGGGUCAAUCCCAAUAGUUCUACAGAAUUUGACAUCAUUGUUCAAAUUGGAUAUAUCCUUCAAUAAUUUGCAAGGCGAGGUACCAAAUGAAGGUGUUUUCAGAAACAUCACUCACUUAGCGGUUGUUGGGAAUGUCAAUUUGUGUGGUGGUACACCUCAACUUCAUUUGGCUCCAUGCCCCACAAGGGACUUAAGCAAGAAGAGAAAAAAGAUGCCAAAGACUCUUGAAAUUUCUCUAGCAGUGGGUGGAGCAAUCUUGUUCUCACUUACAAUGAUUGUUCUUGUUUGGAUACUUUGUACGAAGCUCAAAUCAAGCCAGAAGACAGUAGCAAAAGAUUCAGUUGUUGAUUACCAUUACAGAAGAAUCCCCUAUCAUGCAUUACUGAGAGGAACUAACGAAUUUUCAGAAGCCAACUUGGUCGGCAGAGGAAGUUAUGGUGCAGUUUAUAAGUGUGUUUUGGACACCGAAGAAACAAUAUUGGCUGUCAAAGUUUUUAAUCUUGGUCAAUCUAGGUAUUCGAAGAGUUUUGGGGCUGAGUGUGAGGCCAUGAGAAGGAUACGACACCGUUGUCUCAUUAAGAUCAUUACUUCUUGUUCGAGCAUCGACCAUCAAGGUCAAGAGUUCAAGGCACUGGUUUUUGAGUUCAUGCCCAAUGGUAACUUGGAUGGAUGGCUUCAUCCCAAAUAUCAAGAACUCACUACAAACAACACACUCAGCAUGGUCCAGAGGCUUGACAUUGCUAUCGAUAUUGUGGACGCAGUAGAAUAUCUGCACAACUACUGCCAAACAUUGAUAAUCCAUUGCGAUCUUAAGCCAAGCAAUAUUCUUCUUGCUGAGGACAUGAGCGCACGAGUUGGAGACUUUGGCAUAUCAAGGAUCCUUCAAGAAAAUACAAGCGAGGGGACACAAACUUCUUAUAGCUUAACUGGAAUUAGAGGUUCCAUUGGUUAUGUUGCUCCAGGUGACUAA
rnacentral:rRNA from 1 species